GACGUAGGGGGCGAGCGUUGUCCGGAUUUAUUGGGCGUAAAGAGCUCGUAGGCGGCUCGUUGCGUCGGCUGUGAAAACCCGCAGCUCAACUGUGGGCUUGCAGCCGAUACGGGCGGGCUGGAGUUCGGUAGGGGAGACUGGAAUUCCUGGUGUAGCGGUGAAAUGCGCAGAUAUCAGGAGGAACACCGGUGGCGAAGGCGGCAUCCUGGACCAUUACUGACACUGAAAAGCGAAAGCCAGGGGAGCAAACGGG
rnacentral:rRNA from 1 species